CUCUCUCAGUCUCUCUCUUCUGCAACUCUCUCUUUCUCUCUUCUGCAACCUCCUCUUUCACCACCUCUAGACCACCAAAUGGCGAGCUGCGAGCAUCGAUAGACUCGUCUCUUCCUCCUUAUCACGCAUGUGGGAGUUGUUUACGACGAUUUGGCCGGAAAUGUGGAGAUCGAAGCCAACAUUUUUACUGUAGCAAAUUAGUCAACGCCGAUUUCCGGCCACCUCCAGUCAUAAACCCAGGUCCAUUAGAAGCGCCUUAAGCCGCUCUUCAUGCUCGCCAAGUCUCAUAACCCAGAUCGAAGCAUGGAGGAAGAAAGCAUAAUUGGAAAAUUUCACUGUACAUCGGAGUGCUUAAUUGUUCGGCUACUUCAAGGUGAUUGACGGUUUGAGUUGGUGGACGAUUGUGGAUCGUAUUUUGAGCUGAAUUGAAGACGCAGCGGGAUUAUCGAGCGGGUAAUCCUACAGGACAGGAGAACCAGGACGGUGACCGUGCGGUUAGAGCAAUUGUUAGAGUUUUACAGCAAUUGUAAGUUGUGAGGUGUGUUAUGCUCAUUUAGAGCUUUACAAUAUUGCUUGUGAGAGUGAAUUGUAAUAAUGAACUCGAGGUUUCGAGAUUUGGAGUUUGUGUACCUUGUGGUGAGAUUAUAUUGAGAAAAAAAUUCAGAACGUUUAUUUGAUUAAGUGGUUUAAUUCAUGUUUCGGAUUUGAAUUUAUUAUUCAAAAUUCGGGGCGUGACAGUUUGGUAUCAGAGCGUAAGGUACAUAUUUGGUGAUAAUCAGUACCUCCCGAGUGAUGGCCCGUCUGCAGCGGAUCCCCAUCAUAUACUCUUCGGUACUGGUAAAAUCAUUGGGUAUGUCUUAGUAUGGGGUCUAGACAACGUGUAAGUCCGUAGGACGGUAGAGUUGUCUACUAAGUUCGUAUUAGAAUAAGUUUAGUUUCCGCGAGUUGUGAUCUUCGAGGAAUAGGAACCUCUGGAUUUAACUCUGAUGAGUCGGUGAGGUAGAGGUCGAGUCUGAUGUAGGGACAUGACCUUUCUAUGGAGACAGUUGAGGAUGAGGUGGAGGCAUUAGAGGUUGAGUUGCCUAGUCUACCUGUAGUUGAUGUGAUGGAUGUUAUUCUUGGGUUGAAAUGGUGAAAGAGAUUGAGACCCUAGGAAUAGUUGAAAAGAGAAUUGAUCUCACCAACUCAAGAUGAUAGG